CCUGACGGAACGCUAUUCACUCCACACCCAGAAGGCCCAAGGAAGGGAAAUCGAUUUUAGAGCCUUUACGCCUCGACCCACUGGCCACAACCACUCGACUAAGUUGCCGGCGAGUUCCUCUUACCGGCUGAGGUGGAGGGCAAUUGAUGGGGACAUCAAAGGAAAAUUUGCAGCAUGUACCUAUUUCUUCCAAUGAUAAUGACCAUCAGAGCAAUGAUACGGUGGCUAGCAUCUUAAAUCACAGAGGUGCUGAAUCAGAGCAUAAUAUUUCAAGGGAAGAAAUUAAACGUGUAUUAGAAGUAUUGCAUCCACUGGGAGAUUCUGGCAUGACUGGGAUAAGUUGAAGAGCAUGCUGU